UUAUAUUCUCUCAACCCGACACUACCACGCUAGAAACCCUAAAACCCUAACGUGUUUCUUCUUUUUCUUUACCCGUCGCCUCCUCCGCCUCAUUUUCCCCAUUCCCUUCCAUUUCCCUCUGUACGUACCACUUCAUUCUCUUCGCCGGAAAAGCUAUGGCGCCGUUUGAUCGAAGGUUACUGUCUUCCAUCCUUUUCUUUCUUCAUUUCGCGGUUCCGGUCCUUGGUGAGGUCUGAGGGUUUGCUGAAGCGUAGAACUUCAGGUAUGGUCGUGGAUCCGUUGGAGGUGCGGGUUCUCUCUCUCUCGAUUUUUCUGCUCUUUUCUUCCUCUGUGCAGGUGUUGGAGACAUUGGCUGAAGGCCGGAGGAUGGAGGGAACGUUUGGAGACGAUCCCGAGGUUGUGGACGUGAGAUCCCUCGCCGGCUACAUCGUAGAUGUCUACUCUUUAGACAUUUCCACACUGACCGAGUAAUGGAAAUUGGGCGAGUAGGGUUGUUUGCUUCAGACAUUUCCACAUUCUACAAGUAUGAACUUCUACAUUUAGCCAAGGAAGAGUUUCCAUAUUUGUUGUUUAAUGAGUGAGGUGCAUAUCCUUCCACACUAUAAGUAUGGAUGGGUUGCUGCCAUGUUCAUCACCCCAUCUCCCUCUCCUUCUUUCUCUACUUCUUCUGCUAUGGCCUUCAUUUCCUCCAAUCUUCUCCCCAUUUGCAUCUCACUCCUUUUGUUUUUCAAUUCUGUGUAUUCCUUCGACUACUUUCAAAUGGUUUUACAAUGGCCGCCCGCUACUUGUAAGACUAAAGAUGUAGUCUGUUAUACUGCACCUCCUAAGAUGUUCACCAUACAUGGUCUCUGGCCUAGUUAUUUCUCGGGGGAUAUGGUUGUUUGUACUUCUAAGCCAAAAUUGGACCCAACAAAACAGCUUGCUCCACUCAAAACACAGCUAGAAAUGUAUUGGCCAGACGUGAUAAGCGGCGACCAUGAAACAUUUUGGAAACACGAAUGGGAUAAGCACGGUAAAUGUUCAUUAUUUACCCAAUAUCAAUAUUUUGAAGUAUCUCUCCGUAUUCGAUUGAACUCUACCUUCAAUAUAAUUAGCCAUCUUGAAUGCCGCCCAUCUUAACCCGGAUGUCAACAUAUCUCUGAAUUAUCUUGUUGUUGAAAAUGCUAUUAAGAUUGCAAUAGGAAAAAGGCCUGCCCUCCACUGCAACAAGGAUACAUCUAAACAGAAACAAUUAUUCGAAAUUAUUUUAUGUUUUGAUACGGAUGCGGUGACUUUGAUCGAUUGUAGCCCAGAACUUAGAACAAGUUGCAUAACUCCUUCCACGAUUCACGAUGAAUUGUAGUUUUUUUUUGUUUUUUUUUUUCUAUCUGAAAAAUACUGGAAAGUUAUGUUUGUUUAAAUAUAUGUUAUGUUUAUCUUCGUAGAAAA